UCCCAUAAGCUCUGCGAGUGAGUAGC
rnacentral:piRNA from 1 species